CAAAUCCCAGAACCCUACCAAGAGUGGGUGGGAAUGGAACAGGAAAUGUCAGAACGUGACAGCCCAUAAUCUCUGCCGAAAUUCCCAAGGUCUCUUCAGGCCCACCAGGGUGGCAGAAAAUCUUAAUUCCAGAGUAUCCCCCAGACAAAUCGUGGAAGGAAGAGAAAGUUGGCCUUUUGGAGUUGGGGAUAAAGAGAGAACAGGCUGUCUGUGGGGGAAAGGGAAAGAUUCAUGGAGGGGGAGACUUGGAGGGGUGGUUACCACAGAGAUCGGUAUGGGAAGCCCAUUCCAGGGUAAAGGAACAGUAAAAAAAUGUUUUCUGAAUGCAGCUGUGAGGAAAUGCCUCAUCAGCACUUAGAAGGAGGGAAGAUCUUGAGGAGUCCUUGUUCAUUCCAGUGCAGGAAGUACUGCCUCAGCCAACGUGGCCUCCAACAAUUUUUCUCUAGCCCAGAAUUGCUAGACACAUCACAGGACAAAGCCUCCUUAGGGUGGGUUAGUCCUAUCCACCAAGCCACUCCUGUGGAGGCCUGUGCUCUCUCCUUUUUCCCUACAAGUGUAGCCAGAGCUCAGGCUCCCUAAGAUGCAAGUGGAACUUGUAAGCAGACCCUAUUCCCCCAAAGUAAUCCAGAUUUAGAAGACCAAGAAAGGCAUCAGCGGGAAUUCCCUGGUGGUCCAGUGGUUAAGACCGCCCUUCCACUGCAGGGGGCACGGGUUCGAUCCCUGUCCGGGGAACUAAAGAUCCCGCAUGCUGUGGCCAAAAAAUAAAAUAAAAUGAGAAGUUUUACAAAAACAAGAAAGAAAGGCAUCAGGAAACAAUAGAUCAAAUGCCCCCUUCCCCAGGAAGUCUUCCUACUGCAGUUCAAUCAUAAUCCGCAUUUUCCUUGGCACCAUACUUCUAGUCUCCACCUCCAUGCUCACUGGCUACAAGUUAACCUGACCCACUUAUCCUAGGAAGGACAGCUAGGACAAAGGAGACUUUGGUCUCCUAGAUAAAAUAAUUUUUGUAGGCAACACUUUAACUUAAAGGGUGACAUCUUUGGGCCCCUCGCAGGGUGCCUCUGAAAUAUUUGUGGAAAAAUCUAUACAGUACUCCAGAGAGACCAAUGCCCCUUCAAAUGAACUACAUUAUUCCCCACAGCCUUCUGGGGGAGAAGGACCCUGAAGGAAUUAUGUGACCCCUGAAGCUUCUUCCCCGCCAUUCCCAAAUUGAUCCCAGAAGCUGAGACAUCAUCCACCCAAACCUCCAUCUCAGAAUCCAUUCUGUGAGAAGCUGGUAAGUAAUGCAGUUAUGACUCAGCAUCAGACUCUUCCCUUCCUCUCCCCAUUGGCCAGAAUGAAAGGCCGAAUCUAGCAGAAGGAUCCUCCCCUAUGGAUGGCCACAUCCUUACCACAAACUGAGUCAUGGCCACACCCUGCCUGGAUGGAAAAUUACCAUGAGAGGUAAGGGGAAGGUUUAACUCCAGGAGUUUUAAGUUCUCAAUCCAGAAAUCACAGCCAUCUACUCUCCACCUGGAACUAAUUGAGGCAAACAUUUUCCCGGCCCUAGCCCUAACAAAGCAUGUCCAGGUCUAAAUAAGUAAGGCUGCUUGAGCCCAGGACCAUGUGAAAGGUAGGAGGCCACUGUCAACCACUGUGUGUAGUAGUUGUUGUCCUGGCUUCGGUGAAGGAUGAUGUCUUGCUCAGAUCUGGCUUUCACAGGCUCCACCUCCCCACAUCCAAGGCAGCCAAGCCUGGGUGGGAGAAAGGAGCAAUCCUCCUUCAACUCCCACUGCAGGCUGUAGGAGGAUUCCCCUCCAGAAACUCAGGGCCCUGUAGAAUUUUCCUUGCAAUGAAAGCAUUCUUGUUAUAGGAAUGCUGCGGGUUUUAAUUAGAUUUGUUUUACACCACACAUGCUUUGAAUUUUUUCGG